rnacentral:misc_RNA from 1 species
UCGAGUUUACAACUCCCAAACCCAUGUGAACAUACCUAUCGUUGCUUCGGCGGGAUCGCCCCGGGCGCCUUGCGUGCCCCGGAUCCAGGCACCCGCCGGGGGACCUUAACUCUUGUUUUAUUUUGAAUCAUCUGAGUAGUUUUUUACAAAUAAAUAA